GUAAGUAAAUAUUGGUGUACAGUAGGUUUUACUGGUGUACAGUAGGUUUUACUGGUGUACAGUAGGUUUAAUUGGUGUACAGUAGGUUUAAUUGGUGUACAGUAGGUUUUACUGGUGUACAGUAGGUUUAAUUGGUGUACAGUAGGUUUUACUGGUGUACAGUAGGUUUAAUUGGUGUACAGUAGGUUUAAUUGGUGUACAGUAGGUUUAAUUGGUGUACAGUAGGUUUAAUUGGUGUACAGUAGGUUUUACUGGUGUACAGUAGGUUUAAUUGGUGUACAGUAGGUUUUACUGGUGUACAGUAGGUUUAAUUGGUGUACAGUAGGUUUUACUGUGUUUGCAGAAAAUUUCUCCAAGAACUGUUUGAUUUGCAUGACUAAUAAUAUUGGACGCGGCAUUUCAGUAUCCCCCACAUCUAAUCCAAGGCCUGAAUGACCUUUUGAGCACUUAAUGAUGGACUGC
rnacentral:lncRNA from 1 species